rnacentral:misc_RNA from 1 species
UCCGAGUUGACCCCGGCAGUCUCCCAUGAGUCCCCACCAUCACGUGCUGGCAACAUGGAACGAGGGUUGCGCUCGUUGCGGGACUUAACCCAACAUCUCACGACACGAGCUGACGACAACCAUGCACCACCUGUGCAGGACCCUUGCGGACCCCGAAUCUCUACGGGAUUUCCCUGCAUGUCAAGCCUUGGUAAGGUUCUUCGCGUUGCAUCGAAUUAAGCAACAUGCUCCGCCGCUUGUGCGGGCCCCCGUCAAUUCCUUUGAGUUUCACCCUUGCGGGCGUACUCCCCAGGUGGAUGACUUAACGCUUUCGCUUGGACGCUAAGAGUAUAUCCCUAACAUCGAGUCAUCAUCGUUUACGGCGUGGACUAC